CGACUGAAUCUGAUAAGCUUAGAAUUGGAGAAGGGGAUUAGAGAGCUCAUACUACGGCAGAAUGGGUUAGUUCUCUGUUAUCAGAAAAACGCGCACCAAGUGCUUGUGUAAAGGCCUGAACAAGGGUUCGUAUGGACAGCAGGAGUAUGCAGGGAUUUGGUUGAAUCCUGUACACCUUUAGAGCUACUCUUGUGACACAUCAGGAAUCUUUGGAGGCCAAGGUUAACGAAACCAAGGCAAUGGUUAAGUUUCAAUUAAAGACAAAUGAAGUUUUUUGGCUCAAUGCUGUGAAGACAAAUGAAGUUUUGAUGGAGGAGAUCACAGAGCGUGACGAAGGUGCUCUCAAGUAUUUGAAAGAUAUCAAUUGGUGCAGGAUUGAAGAGCUCAA